UGACAACGCCGCCCACCAUGAGUCCAAUGAUGGCACCUUUGUUUGAACCCACAUCUUCUGCAAAGAACACCUUGAAAACAAAUCAAGAAAAAGGACUGUAAUGGCAGGUGACAACCGGAGAAGAGCGACAACAGCAAUCAUUCAACAGCGAUGCCAUCAACGGAAUGACAUGAUAGGACAAUCCUGGGAAGAGUCUCUAAGUCUGGAAAGUCUAAAGAUAUACUUUAGCACAUUAGACUCAAGCAUGCGGUCUCCUGAAGUGUGAUGUUGGAAGAACCAGAACUAAUGCUACGAACGUAGCGGGGAAUUGGUCCAGAUGCUUGGGAGACUCACUUAUCUGCAGGUUAGAGAGGCCAUUGAUGAAGGAAGGGGACAGCGUCUGCUCAAGCGCACGAUGCGGAGACAUAGAAGUAACCGGGUUAUACCUGGUCGGGUGGUCAGUCCUCGGUCGGCAGCAGGGCGGGCGUCGACAGGCUCAACUGGGCACAGGAAGCAAGAAACACGGAAAGCAAACAAGACAAAUCAAGAUGGUAAGUGGUGGCUCCUGAACGCAGGGCAGGGCAAAGCAUGCGAAAUACGCAAGUUCUAAAAAAAGGAGCCGCUGGAAAAGAACCACAGUGAGUUAAUCCUGAGUAUCAAGGAACAGGGGAGGGGUACCACCUCAAAAGGCUUCUCGCUAUCGAUGGGCCAACCCUACUACUUAGUUUUCUCAUAAAAGCACCCACCA